AUGCUCUUGGUGACUGUGCCAGUACUUGCAAUGGUUUUUACCCUGAGAGGAAGCGGAGCCCAGUCAGUGACCCAGCCUGACCGCCACGUCCUGGUCUCUGAAGGAGCCCCUCUGCAGCUGAGGUGCAGCUACUCAUCUUCUUUUUCACCCUAUCUCUUCUGGUACCAACAACGCCCCAGCCAAGGCCUCCAGCUCCUCCUGAAGUAUGUGUCAGGGGCCACCCUGGUGACAGGCAUCAAUGGUUUCCAGGCUGAAUUUAGGAAGAAUGAAACCUCCUUCCACCUGAAGAAGCCCUCAGCCCAUUGGAGCGACUCAGCUGAGUACUUCUGUGUUCUGGGAGUGAACAGCCAACAAGGAGAAGCUAGUCCUCAGUUCCUGAGCAUCCAGGAGGGAGAAAAUGCCACCAUGAACUGCAGUUACAAAAUUGAUAUAACCAACCUGUUGUGGUAUAGACAGGAUUCAGGUAAAGGUCCUGCUUUGGUGAUUUUAAUACGUUCAAAUGAGAGAGAAAAACACAGUGGAAGACUAACAGCCACCCUGGACACCUCCACCAAAAGAAGCAUCCUGUCCAUCACAGCUUCCCAGGCUGCAGACGCUGCCACAUACUUCUGUGCUACAGAUGCACAGUGA